rnacentral:rRNA from 1 species
UACGUAGGAGACGAGCGUUGUCCGGAGUUACUGGGCGUAAAGGGUGCGCAGGUGGCGGCGCGCGUGGGGGGUGAAAUCGCCCGGCUUAACUGGGCGGGGGCCUUCCAGACGGCGUGGCUUGAGCAGCGGAGGGGGACGUGGAAUUCCGGGUGUAGCGGUGAAAUGCGCAGAUAUCGGGAGGAACACCAGUAGCGAAGGCGGCACUCUGGGCCGUGACUGACGCUGAGGAGCGAAAGCGUGGGUAGCAAACAGG